rnacentral:rRNA from 1 species
CCUACGGGGGGCAGCAGUGGGGAAUAUUGCACAAUGGGGGGAACCCUGAUGCAGCGACGCCGCGUGAGUGAAGAAGUAUUUCGGUAUGUAAAGCUCUAUCAGCAGGGAAGAAAAUGACGGUACCUGACCAAGAAGCCCCGGCUAACUACGUGCCAGCAGCCGCGGUAAUACGUAGGGGGCAAGCGUUAUCCGGAUUUACUGGGUGUAAAGGGAGCGCAGACGGUAAUGCAAGUCUGAAGUGAAAGCCCGGGGCCCAACCCCGGGACUGCUUUGGAAACUGUACGGCUAGAGUACUGGAGGGGCAGGCGGAAUUCCUAGUGUAGCGGUGAAAUGCGUAGAUAUUAGGAGGAACACCAGUGGCGAAGGCGGCUUGCUGGACAGUAACUGACGUUGAGGCUCGAAAGCGUGGGGAGCAAACAGGAUUAGAUACCCGGGUAGUC